GUUUACUGUGUUAUAAAACAUGUUAAUCUUUAAUUGUGUAUAACAUUAAUACAUUUUCAUGUUUAAGAUUGUAUAAAACACACAAAUAGAAUAUAUAAACUUAAUAUAGUGUAUUUUCAUCAAAAUUAUGAAUAUAAAUGAUAUUUAUAAAAUUUUAGAUCAAAUAAAAAUAAAAAUAUUAUUAAAAAUAAAAUAAAAAAAAUAAAAAAAUAAAAAAAAAUAAAAAAUAAAAAUAAAAAAUAGAUUAGGC
rnacentral:lncRNA from 1 species